CUCUAUGGUCGGCGGUACAAGCAAGCGAGCAAAAAGGAGCUUGCAGCUCGCCCUUGCGAUGCUUGUUCACAGUGGCUCAUGCGCUGCCACGGUGUCCGGCCCAAAGGGCGAAACGGUACAAAAUGUGGCUUGUCGGGAGCCCGCUUGGGUCAGGGUGAGCCUCACUUCCUCGUAGGGCGCCGCCGCUGUCGGCGAACACCCUUGUUGUUCCUCCUCGCCAGCCAGCCUGCCAGCCAGCCAGCCUGCCAAGCAAGCAGCCAGCCAGCCCAUCUAGCCUGCUAACCAAGCAACCCGCCCGCCCGCCAACUAACCAGCCCGUCAGCCAGCCAGCCAGCCCGUCAGCCAGCCAGCCAUCUCAACCGUGAAUCCGUCUCGCGGGUUUCCGGCCAGUGCACUCGAGUCAUGUGAGAUGGCGAGGGCUACCCGCGGGCGCUGGACGACUCGCUCUCGCUCUCGCUCUCUUUCAUCAAGUGGCCCGAAAAGCAAGUCGAGCGCCCGCCCUCUCAUCGUCUUGCCACGAGAGCUUGAUGCCGGCCACUUUUCCGCCGUUGACGCAUUGAGGAUGCCGUCAUGCCACUCUCGGCUGUGGAGUUUUCGUUUCUUUUGGUGCAAUCCGAGCAAACGUAUUUAUCUGGCCUAACGACCAGAACCAGAGUGGAGACGGCUUUUUGGGGCGGCGGCUGCGGUGGGGGCUGUCGAAUGCCCCGCUAACGUGGGCGGGGUCGUUUUUUCCGCAGGUUCACCAAGCGAUGAAGCGCCACGACCCCCCCCCCCCCCCCCGUCCAGCCUCCAAUUCAUCAAGGCAGCGAUUCGGGUCGUCAAUAACGGCGAGACGGAUGGCUCCCCUGCUUGGCGCGCCGGCUGAAUUGCUCACAGAACGUGCGUCGUCACGUCCAGCGGUGACUGGUGGGGAUUGCGUUGGAGAUUUCGAAAUACAGCGAGCAGCGCUUUGGCAAAUAGUCUAUUAUAUCUAUACAUUAGUAUAUUGCCACUGCCUGUUGAAGUUUGCAUUGAAAACAACCACAUAGUUUGCAUUGAAAACAACCGCAUAGUCCGUUCGCUUAUUGCUCAUUUAGUCGCCCUCCUCGUGGCGACGACAAAGAUGGAUAACGACGGAAAGCCAUUUGUGCACCUCCCCGAAAUUGCGCUUUGAACGAUUCUUUUUUAUUUCACUCCCUAUCGCGGCUUGCUGUCAAAAUAAAUUGCCUUACGUGAAUAUGUUAGCUUAAAAGUCAGAAUUCUGAGCAUAAAGUCAGAAUUAUGACUUUAAAGUCAGACUUCUGAGAAUAAAGUCAGAAUCCUGUCA